rnacentral:misc_RNA from 1 species
AAUGCAGGUGAUUGGAGCUGUAGGAUUCAUGAAUCAGCGACUAGAUAUCCCCAAGAAUGUUGAUCCACAGUGGGUUUCUAUUAUCGAGAGCUGUUGGCAUAGUGAGCCACAGUUACGCCCAACAUUCCUAGAGUUGGUAGAUAAACUCAAGGAUAUGCUGAGGCAGUAUGCCAUUCAGGCUCAGGCAGCACGUAAUGUUGCAGGAGGUAACAGCCAGAAGGAACUAUAAAUAAAGAUCGUGUUUUUUGCGUGAAGCUUUUGUGGAAUAGCCAGAAGAUACACUGAUAACCCAGAGCCUUCAGUGCUGUUUGAUUGGAAGUGUCACUCAGAGGUCACAAACUGCUUGUGUUGUCGGAUCCAAUGUUCGGUAAAAGUCGUCAAGCAGGCUCUUCACUGAGAGGGAACUUGAUAGGGAAGAUAACAGCUGUCAUUUAUCAGUGUCAAGGAAGAACAUAAAUCCAAUAGGACAUAGCGUAUGUGAAAUCAUGCCUUUAAUGUAUAUAGUUCAUCCACUGUGUGUACUGAACUCGUCACACUGGCUCUUAGUGUUAAAU